rnacentral:rRNA from 1 species
GACGAACGCUGGCGGCGUGCUUAACACAUGCAAGUCGAACGGAAAGGCCCUGCUUUUGUGGGGUGCUCGAGUGGCGAACGGGUGAGUAACACGUGAGUAACCUGCCCUUGACUUUGGGAUAACUUCAGGAAACUGGGGCUAAUACCGGAUAGGAGCUCCUGCUGCACGGUGGGGGGUGGAAAGUUUCGGCGGUUGGGGAUGGACUCGCGGCUUAUCAGCUUGUUGGUGGGGUAGUGGCUUACCAAGGCUUUGACGGGUAGCCGGCCUGAGAGGGUGACCGGCCACAUUGGGACUGAGAUACGGCCCAGACUCCUACGGGAGGCAGCAGUGGGGAAUAUUGCACAAUGGGCGGAAGCCUGAUGCAGCAACGCCGCGUGCGGGAUGACGGCCUUCGGGUUGUAAACCGCUUUCGCCUGUGACGAAGCGUGAGUGACGGUAAUGGGUAAAGAAGCACCGGCUAACUACGUG